GGGGUUAUAGCUCAGUGGUAGACCACAAGCUUAGCAUGCAUGAGGUUCUGAGUUCAAUCCCCAGUACAUCCA
rnacentral:tRNA from 1 species